GACGAACGCUGGCGGCGUGCUUAACACAUGCAAGUCGAGCGGUAAGGCCCUUUCGGGGGUACACGAGCGGCGAACGGGUGAGUAACACGUGGGUGACCUGCCCUCAGCUCUGGGAUAAGCCUGGGAAACCGGGUCUAAUACCGGAUAUGACUCCAUGACGCAUGUUGUGGGGUGGAAAGCCUUGUGCGGCUGAGGAUGGGCCCGCGGCCUAUCAGCUUGUUGGUGGGGUGAUGGCCUACCAAGGCGACGACGGGUAGCCGGCCUGAGAGGGCGACCGGCCACACUGGGACUGAGACACGGCCCAGACUCCUACGGGAGGCAGCAGUGGGGAAUCUUGCGCAAUGGGCGAAAGCCUGACGCAGCGACGCCGCGUGAGGGAGUGACGGCCGUC
rnacentral:rRNA from 1 species